UCUUUGCGGGGUCUACCAUGCAGUCGACGAGGCGGAGGGGGGCAACUCCUUCCAGUCGAGUGGCGGACGGGUGAGUAACACGUGGGUAACCUGCCCGGAAGUGGGGAAUACCUCGGGGAAACUCGAGCUAAUACCGCAUGACAUCUUCGGGACGAAAGUCCUGAUGAUCAAAGCGGGGUCGCAAGAUCUCGCGCUACCGGAUGGGCCCGCGCCCGAUUAGCUAGUUGGUGAGGUAACGGCUCACCAAGGCUUCGAUCGGUAACCGGCCUGAGAGGGCGAUCGGUCACACCGGAACUGAGACACGGUCCGGACUCCUACGGGAGGCAGCAGUGGGGAAUCUUGCGCAAUGGGCGAAAGCCUGACGCAGCAACGCCGCGUGGAGGAUGAAGGCCCUUGGGUUGUAAACUCCUGUCGGCUGGGAAGAAAUCGUUCGUGGCUCAUACCCACGGACGUUGACUGUACCAGCAAAGGAAGCCCCGGCUAACUCUGUGCCAGCAGCCGCGGUAAUACAGAGGGGGCUAGCGCUAUUCGGAAUUAUUGGGCGUAAAGGGCGCGUAGGCGGCCAUGCGUGUCUUCCGUGAAAUCCCUCGGCUUAACUGAGGACGUGCGGAAGAAACUGCAAGGCUCGAGUCCGGGAGAGGGGGGUGGAAUUCCCAGUGUAGCGGUGAAAUGCGUAGAUAUUGGGAGGAACACCGGUGGCGAAGGCGGCCCCCUGGACCGGUACUGACGCUGAGGCGCGAAAGCGUGGGUAGCAAACGGGAUUAGAUACCCCGGUAGUCCACGCCGUAAACGAUGGGCACUUGGUGUCGCGGGUAUCGACCCCUGCGGUGCCGAAGCUAACGCAUUAAGUGCCCCGCCUGGGGAGUACGGUCGCAAGGCUGAAACUCAAAGGAAUUGACGG
rnacentral:rRNA from 1 species